rnacentral:rRNA from 1 species
AUUGAACGCUGGCGGCAGGCCUAACACAUGCAAGUCGAACGAGUGGCGGACGGGUGAGUAAUGUCUGGGAAACUGCCCGAUGGAGGGGGAUAACUACUGGAAACGGUAGCUAAUACCGCAUACCAUCGGAUGUGCCCAGAUGGGAUUAGCUAGUAGGUGGGGUAACGGCUCACCUAGGCGACGAUCCCUAGCUGGUCUGAGAGGAGGACCAGCCACACUGGAACUGAGACACGGUCCAGACUCAUACGGGAGGAAGAAGGGGGGAAUAUUGCACAAUGGGGGCAAGCCGGAUGCAGCGAGGGGGAGGGUAGGAAGAGGGCCUUCGGGUUGUAAAGUACUUUCAGCGAGGAGGCGUUACUCGCAGAAGAAGCACCGGCUAACUCCGUGCCAGCCGCCGCGGUAAUUC